rnacentral:lncRNA from 1 species
UCCAAAUAGGAAAGUCAAUAAACAGCUGACAUUUACCAAUGCCUUGCUUCCGGGUUAUUUUUUCUCCACUCUCCAGAUGUUCUGAAAUGUGUGGUUCCAGAUGCGUCACCUCCAACAGGAUGAUCCCACUCCCCUGGACUGCAUUGCACAAACUUGCGCCAGCAGCACACCAGGGGGACGCCGAAGUUGGAAAGUCUGCAGCGGAGGAGAGUGGGGCGUUGCCUGAGACUGGCUCCUACAGAUUGUGGAGCUGUGGUCGAGGUUAUGCAGCCAAAGCUGCAGGUGGAAAGAAGCAACUGCAUACAAGACUCUACCGAGAGAAGAUGGAAAGCAGCCAACGGCAUUGACAGGAUUUAUGUGCCAGAAGGCAAGAGUGGGGACAUGCAAGGUUUUCUGAGGUCUUCAAGGAGUAGUUUCUGGUGGAAGGUGCUUUGCACAGGGAUGAAUGUUGUCAGCAGAUAGAGUGGAGAGAGUUACUCCUGAUUGAUGGCCAGGAGACCAAGAGGAAGUGGGUACCUGAGCAGCAGGAUUACUGGAGCCACGGAGAUGAGCUACAUCCAGAUUCUUUUUUUUUUUUUUUUUUUUUGCCUUUUCUAGGGCCACACCUGCAGCAUAUGGAGAUUCCCAGGCUAGGGGUCAAAUCGGAGCUGUAGCUGCCAACCUACGCCAGAGCCACAGCCACGUGGGAUCCGAGCCGCGUCUGUGACCUACACCACAGCUCACAGCAAUUCUGGAUCCUUAACCCAGUGAGCAAGGCCAGGGAUCGAACCAUCCACCUCAUGGUUCCUAGUUGGAUUCGUUAACUACUGAGCCACGACAGGAACUCCUACAUCCAGAUUCUGACUACGCAAACCAGCAUGGUCUCCAGGAGAGCAGCAGCCUGACCCUCACAGCCACGUGUGCAAUGCAGGUCUCCCACCAAGAGUACUGAGAAUUUAUAACAUUUAAUCUUUGGCAAUUUAAUGAAUUUAAAUGACAUGUUUUUGGUGUUUUGUUUGUGUGUUGUUUGUUUUGGUCAUGCCCUUGGCAUGCAGAAGUUCCCAAGCCAGAGAUCGAUCCUAAGCCACGGCAGUGACAACACCAGAUCCUGAACCUGCCAAGCCACCAAGGAACUCUAUGGCAUAUUUUAUUUUCGUUUUGUACCUUAAAAAGUGAUUUUUUUUUACAUAUUGAUAAAUAUCCAUGUUCUUCCUCAGUAAAGUAUCCGUCUAUAUCUCCUAAAAAAAAAAAAAAAAAGGAAUAAUAGUGGAUCGUAAUCUAUAUAGUAAGGAUGUUAACUUUUUAGUUUCAUGUUUGUUGCAGAUCUUUCUUCAUUUGGCACUUGCAUCUAGUUCAGACUAUGAUUUUUGAUGUAAAAAAUAUUUAAACUUUAGGAGUUCCCAUCGUGG